CACCGAGAGAGGCGCUGGCCAUUUAGCGGAUGGCGCAAAGAUGCCUUUCAUUUUGAGCCACGGGCCCCCUCCCCAAGCCCGUCGCCACAAGCCCUCACGCCUCCUGGAGCAACGUCGCGGCGCGCCAUGGCCGCCUCGGCGUGCAGAUGCGCACCGAGGAGGGCGAGGCCAAGACUACAAAACGGCGCCAUCGAUGGCUUUACACCCCAGAGGCUCUCUUUUCGCCUCGCACCAUCUAUGCCACCUACCUCGCGGACUUCGAUAAGCUGCCACAGAUGCCGUCCGCCCCCCUGUCGCUGGCGCCAUCAGCGCAAGGGCCUCCUGUCGCUAUCGUUGGCACAGAAAAGCCCGCUGCAUCGCCCAGCAUCGUUGUCAAGAGCACGACUAGAGAUGUCUGCACCCGCCCACCCACACACCCGCAGGCGGCGUGUCACCGUCGCACUCCGAACGGUGCAAAGAGAAAAUGUGUGUUUUUUGUUGUAGGCUCUCGAGUUCGCCGAUGCCCACGGUCUCCCACUAUGGCCACUUCAUCAUGUCAAGCGCGGCCACGGAUCCAGAGAGGCGGCACCCCACCAGGCACAGGCGCACACGUUGGAAAGUCCUGAGUGCAGUGUGCCGUGUCCCUGUCUGCGUGCGCGUCGCCCACGCUCCUUCGAAGCAAGAGGAAGAAGGGUGUAUGCCAAGCGAGCGCGUGUGCGCCAAACACUUUCAUGCCCGCUUACCUCUUCUCUUCGUCCUCGGCCUUUCCUCGGCCUCUUCAACUCUCGCGCCGCACUGCCACUUCUCCCACCAACAUCUUCAG
rnacentral:misc_RNA from 1 species